UACAGAGGUCUCAAGCGUUGUCCGGAUUCAUUGGGCGUAAAGGGUGCGUAGGUGGCGCGCUAAGUCAGGUGUGAAAUUUCGGAGCUCAACUCCGAAACUGCAUUUGAUACUGGCGUGCUUGAGGACUGGAGAGGAGACUGGAAUUUACGGUGUAGCAGUGAAAUGCGUAGAGAUCGUAAGGAAGACCAGUGGCGAAGGCGGGUCUCUGGACAGUUCCUGACACUGAGGCACGAAGGCCAGGGAGCAAACGGG
rnacentral:rRNA from 1 species